GAACCUCUCGGAGUAACAAAACCAGACAGAAAACAGUAUCUAAUAACAGGGAGAAAUUCAUACUUGUGGUGUCUCUAUGCCAAAUAAAAAUUCAACUUUCUUAGCCCAACAAGAAAACUACAUUGUGAAAGGGUAGGUAAGAAGCUUUGAAAUAAUGGGAACAGUUGGCCUUCUGUUCAGCAGACUUGGUUAAUUUAUCCCAGCCAUCAGUGUUCCUGCAGAGAAACACAAGAGUCAAAGGCCACAGGUUUUACUGAGCAGCAACUUAUAGGCAGCACAGCAGGAAAAGACUGACAAAGGGAACAUCUGUGUAGCUGAAUUACCACAAGCUUGGGAAAGGAUGGAUUUAACCUUUAAAUAAAAAAUAAAUAAAAAUGCAAUUAGAUAACCCUUUGGCUACAGCUGUGUCUUAGGCAACACUGAACUUUCUCAGCUGGAGCAGAUAGCAUGCAUGGUUUUGGGAAUGCAAUUUAACUAGCGCAUCAGAUUUUAAAAUGUGAAGUUGACACUUACAGCAAGUACAGUGGUCAGUCCUUCACACCUCUGCUUGAAAAAAAAAUCCUUUGAAAACUUUAUCACCAGAAAUAACAUAUAGAUUGUGUCAGAGAUCUAAAUGAUCUCCAAGAAGGCAAAAGAGGUUCUCAGAGGAAAAACACAUUCCAACCAAUUACAGACAAGAAUACAGUUGCAGAAAUACGUACACUCAAGUCAAGAAUAGGUAAUGAAGACUGCAGAUGGCUCAGAUGUCAUUAUAUUCCUCCGAGAUCUGCCAUAUGUAAGGAUAGCAAGAACUGAAGAUCUUACCUGGCAACCUGUGUGCCUAUCAUUAUGUCCCCUUCCUUCAUGACCCUUCGACUGUAAGGUCUGUAACACAGGCAGAGAUGACUUACUGUAAACAACUUUUAAUGAUGUUCCACAUAUAGUAGUAGCACUGUCUGAUUCAGAAAGAGAUCAUAAAUAGUAAGCUGAUGAUCGCAAAGACUUUGCCAUUGUAAAGACAUAACUGGAUGUUCUCCAUAGCCAGCUACUUAGCAUUCCAUCUUGACCAAAUACUGGGCUAGAGCAUUGGUGAUAAAAUAGCGUGGUCCAUCACUACAAGAAGGUUGGGACUGCAAAGAACUAUCUCUGAUACUAGGGUCUACCAGGCUUCUCCAAACUACCCAAUCUCCCUGUGCUUGAACUAUCACCUAGUAAUGUGGGCAUAUCAGCAAUUUUCUACUUAGAACAUGUAUCCUGAAGUACAAGGUUGCUAAGGUCGAAGUCGCUGGUUUGGGGGAAACCCUCAAAAUGCUUCUUCAGAACCCAUACCUUGGCAGUAACCAUCCUGUGCAACAAACACCACAGCCAAAGAGUGCUUGUCAGAAACCUCCAAAGAUGCUAGUCUGCUCAGAAGGGUUGUUUAGACUUUAUGAAUCCAAGCAGUAUCUUGAUAACAUACCAUUACACAAGACAGCCUCUCCUUCCAUCCUGUGGAAGUUUUACUGGAUCAAGACAAAAUCAGAAAAGCCCCCUCAUCGCCCAACUAACCCAGAGUUUCCUGUGACCUGCCCAACCUCCCUGCCUGCUGGCAGCAAGCCCUGGUGUGGGAAGUCAGCCCCAGCAAGAUGUACAGCUCCCAUUCUAACAAAAUUGAAGAGGAAAAAUCUAGUUUAAGGAGGAAAAAAAAAUCCUGUAAGGAAGAAAAAUAAAACACUUAAACUUACUUUUUCCCCACUCAAAUGGGAUGAGUACUGAAUCUAAACUUUUACAAGCUUGAAUCAAAGUGCAAGUGAGAAAUGCAAAGGGCACCAAGUUAUCCAAGAAUAAAGGUGAAAACUGGGAUCCCAUAGUAGAUACUAGCAACUGGAAAGGAAGGUCAGGUAUAAAAGAGAGGGCAGAGAAGUCUGAAAAAUUGAGGGAAUCUGACUGGAAGCUGACAAACUGGUAGUGAUACCUGAAAUCUUGGAAUCUUCACAUUGAAGCAGAAGAGUAUCAAAGCUCUCAAAGAAGCGUGAGUCAAAAUAGCAAAGUUCACUUUCUGUAACUAACCCCAACUAACAUUUGUAACUUGUGUGGCAUGGUGUCCUAGCCUGGGUUUGACCAAAUCUAACCUUGAGGACAAAAUAGUCUCAGAAGUCUGUCAGUUAAAAAUAAGUUUAAUUCAAAUUUGGGGUUAGCUUAACAGUUCAUCCUGCUGACAGUCACAAUUAAUUUGAAGAUAUGGCUGUGGUACUUGUUUCCUUUUACCUCCAUCCUGAAGCAGGAACAGCUAUGCUCCCAGCUGCACUGGAAGAAAAGGGUAUGAUCAAAAAGACGACUAAAAU